UGCAGAUUGAAGUCGAUACGAAAAAAACGUCGCAAUGUGAAAUCGGCUGCUUUGAGGCGAGAGCUGACGGAAGGUACUGUGAAGCAGGGGAGAUCUGUCUACAUUUGUCUUCCAACUCUUGAAGAUCACGUGGGUUACACAGUUGGAAGGUCAUGUCUCUGAUAUUUUGAGGUGUUUUCAGAGAAUUCUUCCUACUAAAUCGAAUGUUGGACUGGUCUCAUCGAGGACGAUGACGAGUAACGAAUCAAGCACCGAGGCAGCAAGCAAGUUGACUGCAGCAUUUGUGACGGUCCCAGAUGCUAAAGUUGCUGAAAAGUUGGCCUCAGACAUUGUUGAGCAGCA